ACCAGACACCAGAUCUGCUGGCACCCUGAUCUUGGACUUCUAGCCUCUGGACCUGUGAGCAGUAAAUGUCUACAUGAGCCCCUGGUCCGUGGCAGGGUGUGACAGCAGCCUGAAUGGACUGAGAUGAGCUCUGAGGUCACAUGGGAGAUGGACUUUGGCCACGUACCUCUGAACCCAGAGCUGAGCUUGGAGCAUCCCCCUUGGGAGAUCUUGACCAGACACAUGACCCUGCACACACUGCACAUGUGGAGUUGCCAGAAGGCAUGGCUCGCAGAGGCUGAACUCAAGCAGAUCUGCUUCUAAUGGCCUGGGAGGGGGCAGCGAUUGGACCAGUCUGGAACAUCAGACCACCAGUCAUGUUCUCUGUCUGCCAGCAGGCAGUGAGCUCAGUGUGAGCGGGGAGGGGGAAUGCUCUGAGGAGCCUGCCAUUAAGAGUGACAACAGCGGACCAGCAGAGCCAGACCUCAGCGGGUGUGCAGCUCCCUGCCCCCACCCCAGCCAGGCAGGAGCAAAGUGCCCCGAUUCCCCCCAAGGUACCAUGAAUAUGACGAUGUGAGACUAUCUUUGCACAGACUGGAAAAUGACAGUCAAGACCACAGUACUUGGUGGCCCAUUACACAAAGCUGAUCCAGAUUAAAGCCUGCCAACAGGUCCCAGAGGUGUCAUGUGACUGAGAAGGCAGUUCCCAUUGGUUCUGGAGGUGUCAUGUGACCGAGAAGGCACUUCCCACUGGUUCCCAGAGCUGUCAUGUGACUGAGAAGAUGGCGCCUCUUGGGUUCUAGGGUCUGUGAGGACGGCGACCCCACUUGCUGAGCCUCAGAGGUGGGGCUGUACUGACUGACCCCUGGCGGUGGUUGGGGGUGUGUUUCUGAUUGGGCUCAGUCCUGGGGUUCACUGCGAGCCUUGAUAACAAGCUACUCAGCCGGGACUCAGACCGUUGCCCGCCUGUGUACCACGUGGCUGGUGUUUGCGCCCCUGAUGCUGACGCAACCACAGGGAACAGCUUUGGCACACCCGCCACUCGAGGGCCUCAUACGCCCACCAGAGCCUUCAUCGUCUUCCAGUCUUGUGUCCAUGAUAAAAUGUCAAAAGAAAAAAAGGAAGCCGAUGUCUGAUAUUACUACUUUGAACUUUCUUAGCUACAGUCUCUGGAAGCAUGACAUUUACGGGGGAAAAAGGAUCAGAAGGAGGGGGUAACCCUGAGCGUAUUGUUCAUCAUCUUUAUCUCUGGGAUUUUCGCUUUAAUCUUCUGAGCGCCCUUGCACACCAGGAGUCUGGGCCCCGCCUGUGGUUGUCGGUCGCUGCAUAACAAUCCACUCUGCAACCAGAGAGGCUCAGAAUUUUGUUCUUCAGACUUUUCUGGAAGACUUCAGCUGGGGGUCUGUCUCCGGUCCACACGAGUGGCCAGAGCCCUGGUGGGGCCAAAGCCCUGAGGUUUGAUCUCGCUCCACCGUGACUGCGUCCAACAGGCGGCUUGGGCUUCCUGUAAUACAACAGAGCCGGGGCGGUCAGCUUGAUUGCAAGGCGACUGGCUUCCCUCCCAGCCGGAGUCCCAGAGCGACUCUUGUGCACAGCCAGGCAGCUGCUUAGAAGGCAGAAUACCCCUUGUGUUGCCUUGGACUGGUCAGGACCAAAGGGCAGGAGCUAGAUCCAGCCCUCCGUGAGACUGUGGCCAAGACCGGCAGCCACCUUUAAUCCGCCACAGUGGGAGGACUCCUUUCCACUGCAGGGGACAGUGCCCUGGGAAGGCAGCUUCCGGUGGCCCCCUUGGCACCACGGGGAAUGUGGCCCACUCUUGUUGAGGGCAGAGAUGCCACUGCCCUCUUGUGCCACCUCUUGGUCAUAUGCCACCUCCAAGAAGAAUUGGGUGCUGUCUUCUCUGUUACGUGCCCCUCCCACCUGUAACAGGUAUUCUCCAGGCUGAGCGUGGAGGAUCGGUGGCAUCUCUGAGACCCAGUGCACCUACAGCCUCCUCUGUGGUCAGCACACGCCUGUGACAAUGUGACAGUCCUUUUGCCGCCUUGGGAUAUACUGAGAGUUCAUCCGUUAGCUGGUCUGCUGCUACUUCUCCCCGGAAUUCACCGUAGGAAACUGUCUCCAUCUGAACGCCCUGUGGUCCCCUCUGCUCACACCCUGCACUCAGCAGGUGUGGAUUUGGCCCAGUCUGAGCAGCUGACCUGCAGACACAGCACGAAUGCCCAACAGCAGCCUGGGAGGCCUGUGAUCUCUAUCAGCUACCAUUGGAUUUCUGUCCUCUCCUUUGUCCUCGGGUGGCUGGGAGAGCCUGAGGAAUGUCACACAUAUCCCACCCAAGGCAAGAGGGGGCUUGAGGGGGUCUCAGCUGGCCUUAAUCAUCCCUCGUCAUAACUUUAGGAGUCCCUGCAAGAAAUAAGCCCACCGACCCAAUCCAGGAGGGACGCGGAGACCCGGAGCAGUGAGGCGAGGUUGUUUAAUCAAUGUUCUUGGGGGGGGGUGUUGGAUGGACGUACACACCCCGGGCAGUUACAGCAGACAGUUUAUGUCCUAGCACGUAUGUCCUGCCCCCGGUUCCUCACUGGCUGAUCCUGCAGAGGCUACAGCCUGACCCGGAUGUCACCUGUGUCCCUGGAAGCACAAGGUAAUAUGAGUGGAACAAGUGUGCAUCCUUUAGCUGAUGCGGACACUUUCGGUCCCCCCUCCCUCUGUUCUUUGGCACAUGCUCCUUGCAAAGCCUGUGAAAGUAAACCCGCGAAACCGAGAGGGGAAGGAGAACCAGGAAGUGGGGUGUCUAAAGGUUUGGGACUCCACAGUAGGGUGGGGGGCGGGCUCAUAUAUAUUCCCAAUAGGUUGUAAACCUGCUAACUGGACAGCACAGCUUUCAUUUGGUAUUUCUGAAAAUGAAUCAUCUCCCUUACCUCUCAGUCUACAUUCCUUUUCCUUCUUCAAAUCCGUACCCCACAGAAGAAGCCCAUCCCUCGCCGGCUCCGGGUAGGGCCGUUUCCCUGUCCGUUGGGGUGCAGCCAUUUGAUCUAUAUAAGUGAAUCCAAUUUAGCUGAUUCAUCUCUCGUGUUUAAUUUUUAUGUUAACAUAACAAGGUUAUACAGCUGAACAGGAGAGAGGCCGGGGACGGAAUUCAUAAGUGCCAGCUUCAGUUUAAAAAAAAAAAAAAGAAAAAAAAGUUCCUGGAGGAAACAGGUUGAGAGAAGGCAAGUCCUCAGACAAAGGUUUUCUCUUAGGAGCUCCGAAAGCUUUCAGCUUGAUUUAAAUAUAGAAUCAAAGCUAUUGGCAUUUAACAACCUGUGUGUAAAAGUCAGGAUUGACUUGUAAAUAAGGCCCCGGCUGGAGCCGAAGGAUUUCCGAAAUAAAUACAUCAUUGGGCUUUAUGGAUGGGCAGAGAGGGAGGCGUGCGUGUCGUCAGACCUGGGAGGACAGAGCGAUUUUUGUGUUGAGUGGAUUUUCUAGAAUUCGCCGUGCUGUUCGUGUGAGUCUCCAGGAGGGAAUGCUCAUUUGCUGCUCUAAGAGGCCAUUUGUGGGUCUUCUCAGGCCAGACUCACCUGCUAUUUUGCAUCCCUCUUCCCACUCGCAGGGAUGGUGGCCGCCCAGUCCUUGGGUCCUUGGGUUCUUGGGGGUCGCCUGCUAAUUUGGAAGCGGGCCAGGUCUUGAUGUGGGGAAUGAAGGCAGAAGGAAAUGGCGGGUAAAAUUAAAUUUCCUUCUAACCUGCAGCCCAUUGGCAAAGACUUGAGGCCAGCAGAGUAAAACCUUCCCCCAGGAAGGUCCCUCUGCCAGAGGGAAAAACAACCUGAGCUUGACCAUGGCCAGGCCUCCAGGAUCCAGGGACAGUCUUCAACCCUCAAGUAUAUGGUCAGUCACUCCUCACCAUCCAGUCCAGUGCAGUUCUUCCUGCCCGCGAGUCCUGUCCCCGUGCUUUCAUAAAAUCUAACCUUUUUGCAACAAAGACGUCUUCAAGAAUUCUUUCUUGGCCGUCAGCUCCGGACCCCCUGUCACUGCAAGACCGCACCGCUGAGACCUGCAGAGGUGGCAUCGUGGGCUGGCCCUGUAUCGUCACCAGAUUGGGCAACGCAGUCUUGUGAGUCAGAGGCAGUGCCUCCCUCGAGGCCAGUUUUCCCAGUGGGAAAAGAACCAUGCGCUGCUCCCA